rnacentral:rRNA from 1 species
UGGGGAAUUUUGGACAAUGGGCGAAAGCCUGAUCCAGCAAUGCCGCGUGUGUGAAGAAGGCCUUCGGGUUGUAAAGCACUUUUGUCCGGAAAGAAAUCCUUGGCUCUAAUACAGUCGGGGGAUGACGGUACCGGAAGAAUAAGCACCGGCUAACUACGUGCCAGCAGCCGCGGUAAUACGUAGGGUGCAAGCGUUAAUCGGAAUUACUGGGCGUAAAGCGUGCGCAGGCGGUUUGCUAAGACCGAUGUGAAAUCCCCGGGCUCAACCUGGGAACUGCAUUGGUGACUGGCAGGCUAGAGUAUGGCAGAGGGGGGUAGAAUUCCACGUGUAGCAGUGAAAUGCGUAGAGAUGUGGAGGAAUACCGAUGGCGAAGGCAGCCCCCUGGGCCAAUACUGACGCUCAUGCACGAAAAGCGUGGGGGAGCAAAACAGGAUUAGAUACCCUGGUAGUCCACGCCCUAAACGAUGUCAACUAGUUGUUGGGGAUUCAUUUCCUUAGUAACGUAGCUAACGCGUGAAGUUGACCGCCUGGGGAGUACGGUCGCAAGAUUAAAACUUAAAUGAAUUGACGGGGUCAUAGCUGUUUCCU